GAUGAACGCUAGCGGCAGGCUUAAUACAUGCAAGUCGAACGGGAAUUGGGUAGCAAUACCUGAUGAUAGUGGCGCACGGGUGCGUAACGCGUAUGCAACCUACCUUUAACAGGGGGAUAGCCCGGAGAAAUUCGGAUUAAUACCCCAUAGUAUUAUGGAGAGGCAUCUUUUCAUGAUUAAAGUUCCGGCGGUUAAAGAUGGGCAUGCGUGCCAUUAGCUAGUUGGUGAGGUAACGGCUCACCAAGGCGACGAUGGUUAGGGGUCCUGAGAGGGUUAUCCCCCACACUGGUACUGAGACACGGACCAGACUCCUACGGGAGGCAGCAGUAAGGAAUAUUGGUCAAUGGGCGGAAGCCUGAACCAGCCAUGCCGCGUGCAGGAAGACGGCCUUAUGGGUUGUAAACUGCUUUUGUCAGGGAAUAAACCUCGUUUGCGAACGAGGCUGAAGGUACCUGAAGAAUAAGCAUCGGCUAACUCCGUG
rnacentral:rRNA from 1 species